rnacentral:rRNA from 1 species
CCUACGGGGGGCUGCAGUGGGGAAUAUUGGGCAAUGGGCGCAAGCCUGACCCAGCAAUGCCGCGUGAAGGAAGAAGGCUCUCGGGUUGUAAACUUCUUUGACAGGGGAAGAGCAGAAGACGGUACCCUGAAAACAAGCUACGGCUAACUACGUGCCAGCAGCCGCGGUAAUACGUAGGUGGCAAGCGUUGUCCGGAUUGACUGGGUGUAAAGGGCGUGUAGCCGGGAAGGCAAGUCAGAUGUGAAAUCUGGAGGCUCAACCUCCAAAUUGCAGUUGAAACUGGUUUUCUUGAGUACUGGAGAGGCAGACGGAAUGCCUGGUGUAGCGGUGAAAUGCGUAGAUAUAAGGAGGAACACCAGUGGCGAAGGCGGUCUGCUGGACAGCAACUGACGGUGAGGCGCGAAAGCGUGGGGAGCAAACAGGAUUAGAUACCCCUGUAGUC